GGAUCCGUGGCGCAAUGGUAACGCGUCUGACUCCGGAUCAGAAGGUUGUGAUUCACGUCGGGUUCA
rfam:Glycine max cultivar Williams 82 chromosome 6, whole genome shotgun sequence.